GAGAGAGGCUCGACAGCAACAAUGGCUGCUAACCAUCGCCUCCUUGGUUAAACUCCAAGGCUCACUCG
rnacentral:tRNA from 1 species